GACGAACCCGUGCGAACGUUAUUCGGAAUCACUGGGCUUAAAGCGCGUGUAGGCGGGAAUGUACGUCCGUCGCUGAAAUCCCCCGGCUCAACCGGGGAAGUGGCGCGGAUACGGCAUUCCUUGAGGGGCGUAGGGGGACCUGGAACUUCCGGUGGAGCGGUGAAAUGCGUUGAGAUCGGAAGGAACGCCCGUGGCGAAAGCGAGGUCCUGGACGCCUACUGACGCUGAGACGCGAAAGCCAGGGGAGCGAACGGGAUUAGAAA
rnacentral:rRNA from 1 species